rnacentral:rRNA from 1 species
UACGAGUGCCCCGAGCGUUAUCCGGAAUCAUUGGGCGUAAAGGGUGUGUAGGUGGUUGUGUUAGUCUUUUGUCAAAACCCGGAGCUUAACUCCGGAUCCGCGAAAGAAACGGCACGACUAGAGGGUGCGAGGGAUGUGUGGAACUCAUGGAGUAGGGGUGAAAUCCGUUGAUAUCAUGGGGAACACCGAAAGCGAAGGCAGCACAUUGGCGCAUUCCUGACACUGAAACACGAAAGCGUGGGUAGCGAAUGGG